GGGGCUUUGGCUCAGUGGUAGAGCGCUUGCCUAGCAAGCACAAGGCCCUGGGUUCAGUCCCCAGCUCCG
rnacentral:tRNA from 1 species